rnacentral:lncRNA from 1 species
AAAAUUUUGGGAAAGGGAAACAAUCACAACUAGUAGUAGCCGGUACCCAGAUAGUACACAUAUGUCUUGCCGAUGUCGGCACUAUAAGUACUGAUGAUUGUCAUGUGUUAAGGUGGAGACUUUUCGGGUGAUUAUUCUGUAGGAUUAUUUACAUCAUUUCCAACUUGAAGAGUGUUGAUAGAUGGAAUUACCAUCACAGGCCCCCUGAUGGUGACAAAGCUUGAAUUUUAAACACAUUGUUCAGAUCUCCCCACAACCAGCCAAAGGAUGGAAGCAAUACCCAGCACGAGUACUCUUUUUAAACAGAUAAUAUUCGGUGUAUUUAUUUUUAAGGUGUAAUACUACACAUACAUUAUAGUUGUAUUACCUUCAUUAACUAUGCAUGUUGAUUGUCAUCUGUUACAGAAUAUUUUUACAAGAUUGCAGAGCGGUGGGAGAAGUCAUGGGUGACAUCAGACCUCAACACUAACCAGGAGCAAGAGUGCCAAAGAGGCCGACAACAUAUCAACGAAUUGGAGGGCAGGAGUGGAGGUCCAACCUGCAACUUCAAGUCAAAUGGAAGAAAGUAACACUCUUGGAGCUCCUGGGCUUUUAAUGUGCUACCCAAAACCCUAAGGCACUACAGAGGCAACCAUGUGAAAACCCCAGGCCACAGCAAUUUGGGUGGGUUACCGCUUAACACAGGCUGUUUUGAAUCUGACAUGGUGAGUCACAUCCAAAAAAUUAAAAAAUCUAUUUUCGGAUGGGAUGUGAU